AGCGGCAUUUGUGUAUUUGCCAUGAAAUCGUGUUCUUUUACCAGCCAUGAAAAAUAAUGGCCAGUAAAGGUUAAAAAAUUAAGUCUAUUUCCAGUGGUUUUAUUCUCCCUCCAACUGUUUCCUGUAAAAAUAUUCGCUCCCUCCAUUGUGCAAAGUGCAAACACACAUUCUCCGACAAGUUGCAAAUAGGUAUUCUCUGCCACAGUAAGUCUCAAAUUUGAGCAGACCUCUCCCUCUCUAUCAUCGUUGUCAGCGCCCAACUCAUUUCUCUCACCAUCACCAGGUAAUCUCUCGCUUUCUUUUCUUUUGGUUUUGAUUUUGAUGACCCUCAACUCGUGAAAUGCAAAGCAAAAGUGUAUAAAUAUUAAUUUUGCGUUCAUAGUGAGUGCAGAAGAAGGUGUGCCUUCUUUAGGUUCUUAUGCCGAUUAGAUUAAAUACAGAUUUGAUCGAUCCUGAAGAACUAAGGUUUCUUUACUAGUCAAAAUUCACUUCUCUUUUGUUCGUUUCUCUGUACUUUAGACCUUAUGUGUUUCUUCUUCCUUUGCUGGUAGGCCUCAUUAAUUCUCAGCCAUUUUUGCUUUUCUCUAGAACCUCUAUUGGAAAGGUUCAAUGUAGACUUACCUAACCUAAAUUUGAUCCAUAACUUUGAUACAGAAUUGAGAAAAAGAAAGUAAAAUUUAAGAUGCAUUCUGGUGAAUUCGGUCUUGUGAAAAAAUGGAGAUUUCAUUUGGUAAUUGGAUUGGAAAUACGGGUAUGUUUCUUAAAUUCUGUUGAAGGCAGGCACUUUUGAUAUAAAAUCAAAUUGAUAUGCAUUUAAACUGCUUCUAGUGAGUAUAAUUUAAUUACUAAUAUUUUUUAUAAGAAGUGCAGGAGAAUUCAUAAUAUGGGGAUGUUUCUUAUGUCUUUACAUCGUGUUGUCUUGUCCCAUACUCUAAUAAAGUUAGUUUUCCCUUUCUGUUGAUAAUGGAGAUUAUAGAAAUAUAGUAACGGGUUUUUUUGGAUUACAUCUCUAGUUAUUUGUUAUGUCAUUGCGGUGAAAACUUGUUCUUGAUAUGAUAAUGCUACUACAUCUGAUAAAUGGUGUUCAAAUAUUUGCAGUAAUAUGAAUUGAUUUAUGUAUGAAAAAACAUGUCUAUCCAAUAUGUUUUUAAGCUAUUUAAUCUAGUUCUUUAUAUUAUUCGUUAGAUGUGAAUUAUUGACGGACUAGUUUUGCUUCACUUACUUAUCAUGUUAAUCAAAUGUUUACUUUAUUUUGAGUUGAAACAUUCCUGGUUGUAUUCCAAAGUUGUCUCGUAUAAAGAAGAAUUAGAAGCGAAUUUCGUAUGAAGUUCUUAAAUCUUGAAGGCAACAUUAUUACUAUAUUUUCUACUCAUAAAUUGUUCUUAUAAUUGAAAACUAAAUUGUUCUAUCCUCCUUGUUCCAUUUAUGUUCAUGCGACUAACUUUUCAAGAUAUAUAUAUAUAUAUAUAUAUAUAUGCAUGCAUGCAUGUAUCUAAUGUGUUUUGCCGUAAUAAACUUGGAUUCUUGUCUUCACGGCGUAGUAUUUUUUUUCUUAUUAAACAAUUUAAUUGUUAUCUUCUAUGUGCAAUAUUGAUAUUCUUCAUCUAUCAAGCCAAAUUAUUAAGCAUCAUAUGUCCAAACUAUUGAAGUAAGUUAACUAAUGCAUCCACCGUACGUAUCAAUUCUGCUAAGAUAGAAGAUAUUUUUCCAACUUUAUUAUGUCCACACUGUUGGUGUAAGUUAUUUGAUGGAAGGUAUACCAAUUUUGGUUUACAUUAGAUUUCAUAUUUUGACAUUCAUUUUAUUUUCACUUCUAGCUAUUUCAGUUCUAAAGUUACACGUUUUUCUUUUAUUUUGAAAAACAAAGGUAAAAGAAAUAGUUCUGUGAGUCUACAUGCUUGGCAUGAGAUGAUUAUUUUAUGGUGUUUGUAUUUUCCGCUGCUGAACGGUCCAAGACCAAGUAUUCAGGCACACGUAUGAAUCCAACAUUGAUAGGCUAGUCAGACAAGUUCUUGGAGCGUUGGAACACUGCCUGAAUUAUAUUUUGAACUGGAGGUACAGUUUUUCCGGCUGGUGAAGAGAGAUUGGAUUGCGAAAAGGAGUCAACAAAGCAAGUAGGUUUGCAAAGCUGGUGAACAGAGAUUGUAUUAAGUUGCUCAUUCAAGUUGUGUACUUCUUUUUUGGUGUUGACACUGUAAAAACUAUGGAUUUGUCAUUUUGUUUGUAUAUGUAAUGAAAUAUUAUUUUGUAGAGUGAAUAUUAUCAUUAUGUUAGAAUGAAUAAAAGCAGAGUGUUUAUUUUAUCAUUU